AUUGAACGCUGGCGGCAGGCUUAACACAUGCAAGUCGAGCGGGGGAAGGUAGCUUGCUACCGGGCCUAGCGGCGGACGGGUGAGUAAUGCUUAGGAAUCUGCCUAUUAGUGGGGGACAACAUCUCGAAAGGGAUGCUAAUACCGCAUACGUCCUACGGGAGAAAGCAGGGGAUCUUCGGACCUUGCGCUAAUAGAUGAGCCUAAGUCGGAUUAGCGAGUUGGUGGGGUAAAGGCCUACCAAGGCGACGAUCUGUAGCGGGUCUGAGAGGAUGAUCCGCCACACUGGGACUGAGACACGGCCCAGACUCCUACGGGAGGCAGCAGUGGGGAAUAUUGGACAAUGGGGGGAACCCUGAUCCAGCCAUGCCGCGUGUGUGAAGAAGGCCUUAUGGUUGUAAAGCACUUUAAGCGAGGAGGAGGCUACUCUAGUUAAUACCUAGGGAUAGUGGACGUUACUCGCAGAAUAAGCACCGGCUAACUCUGUGCCAGCAGCCGCCAGUAA
rnacentral:rRNA from 1 species